rnacentral:tRNA from 1 species
UCCGGCGUGGUUGAAGGCCAAAAACGUCAUGUUUUACGCAUUCGUAAUGCGAAGGUCGGGAGUUCGAGUCUCUUCUCCGGCACCA